AGUCAAUAAGUUUUAGUAAACUUAUAUUUUGAAAGUAUAAAUUGAAAGUUAAAUUCUUUCAUUGACUU
rnacentral:tRNA from 1 species